rnacentral:pre_miRNA from 1 species
UGAGGCCCCAGGAGGAACAACCGCUCUGGAGCCCUGGAGUCAGCUCCCGCAGUAACUCCGGAGCUCUCCGUCUGCAGGGCCUGGAGGCUCCGGGGCGGG